CUUGCUAGGGAAGUAAAAUGUGUCUAUCUGGCAUUUACGUCCGUACUCAUCUUCACAGUUUGGUCCUGUUGAGAGGAAAUCCUGCUCAGGAAGAGGGUUGACACACAAUGAGCGUCCGCUAGAUACGUUUCUUUUGAUGGCAUUUUAUACUGUACAUCUUAUGACUGGAUUGGAUAGUUGCAGUUGGUCUAGUUUACGUCAUAUAAAAAACCUAAUUAAAUUAACUAAUUAACUACCUGCAAUUGCCAUGUUGGAUGAGCCUGUGUCAAUCAGAAAUUCAAGCUGUAAAGUAAAAUAAUUCAUUGUGAAUAAUAAUUUUACAAAACGGUUGGUCUUGGUUAGACCUUUAUUACUCGGCUCUUUAUUAGUGAAAGUACAGUAGUACCUCUUUCACCCUAAGUGGAUUAAACCAGUUUUAACGUUGUUAGGUAGAAGAAAARAAGCGUUAAAACUGGCUUGAUCCAAAAUCUCACCACACAGGGCGAAAGAGGUACUACUUUUCACAGUUCGACGAUUUUCUUGAGGUUUUUAAGCAUCGCAUACAUUUUCUCAUAAUAUGACACCACAGAAACCUAGCUUGGGCUACCUGUGGAACGGAGGGCAAAAAUGACCUCUGCAAGCAGGGAAACUGAUGCGAAACAUAACAGUUUUACACGAUAAAAUAAAAAUUCAUAUUUACAUUUAGAUA